CUCGUGAGGGUGGGGCUGAAGGAAGCGUGUAUCAAACUCUUGGCUCGACGAAUAGAAAUCUGAUACGAAGGCUCGACAAGCGGAUGAGGCUCCUAGACAAGCUAAAGUCCUAAAGAUGUGCGUAACCUUGUCGGGUAAAUCAGGCGAGUAAAAGAGGAAAGAUAGUG
rnacentral:ncRNA from 1 species